rnacentral:rRNA from 1 species
UAGAGUUUGAUCCUGGCUCAGGAUGAACGCUAGCGACAGGCUUAACACAUGCAAGUCGAGGGGCAGCGACAUGAAGUAGCAAUACAGAUUGGUUGGCGACCGGCGCACGGGUGAGUAACGCGUAUGCAACCUACCCAUCAGAGGAGGAUAAUCCGGAGAAAUUCGGUCUAAUACUCCAUAAAACAGGGGCUCCGCAUGGGGAUAUUUGUUAAAGGUUUUUUAUCUGCUGACGGAUGGGCAUGCGUAACAUUAGGUAGUUGGUGAGGUAAAGGCUCACCAAGCCGACGAUGUUUAGGGGUUCUGAGAGGAAGGUCCCCCACACUGGUACUGAGACACGGACCAGACUCCUACGGGAGGCAGCAGUGAGGAAUAUUGGUCAAUGGACGGAAGUCUGAACCAGCCAAGUCGCGUGAAGGAAGAAGGAUCUAUGGUUCGUAAACUUCUUUUAUAGGGGAAUAAAAAAUAGGACGAGUCCUAUCUUGUAUGUACCCUUUUGAAUAAGCAUCGGCUAACUCCGUGCCAGCAGCCGCGGUAAUACGGAGGAUGCGAGCGUUAUCCGGAUUUAUUGGGUUUAAAGGGUGCGUAGGUGGUUAGAUAAGUCAGCGGUGAAAGUUUGUGGCUCAACCAUAAAAUUGCCGUUGAAACUGUUUGACUUGAGUAUGUUUGAGGUAGGCGGAAUGCGUAGUGUAGCGGUGAAAUGCUUAGAUAUUACGCAGAACUCCAAUUGCGAAGGCAGCUUACUAAACCAUAACUGACACUGAAGCACGAAAGCGUGGGUAUCAAACAGGAUUAGAUACCCUGGUAGUCCACGCAGUAAACGAUGAUAACUAGGAAUUUGCGAUAUGACAGUAAGUUCUACAGCGAAAGCGUUAAGUUAUCCACCUGGGGAGUACGCCGGCAACGGUGAAACUCAAAGGAAUUGACGGGGGCCCGCACAAGCGGAGGAACAUGUGGUUUAAUUCGAUGAUACGCGAGGAACCUUACCCGGGUUUGAACGUAGCUUGACCGGUUUAGAGAUAGACCUUCUAUUAAUAGCAAGUUACGAGGUGCUGCAUGGUCGUCGUCAGCUCGUGCCGUGAGGUGUCGGCUUAAGUGCCAUAACGAGCGCAACCCUCACUGUUAGUUGCCAUCAAGUGAUGUUGGGCACUCUAACGGGACUGCCAGCGUAAGCUGUGAGGAAGGUGGGGAUGACGUCAAAUCAGCACGGCCCUUACAUCCGGGGCGACACACGUGUUACAAUGGCGAGGACAGCGAGCAGCCAACCAGCGAUGGUGAGCCAAUCUCUUAAACCUCGUCUCAGUUCGGAUCGGAGUCUGCAACUCGACUCCGUGAAGCUGGAUUCGCUAGUAAUCGCGCAUCAGCCAUGGCGCGGUGAAUACGUUCCCGGGCCUUGUACACACCGCCCGUCAAGCCAUGGGAGUUGGGGGUACCUGAAGUGCGUAACCGCAAGGAGCGUCCUAGGGUAAAACCGAUGACUGGGGCUAAGUCGUAACAAGGUAACCGUA